CGCCCCUUGGUAUUCCGAGGGGUGCACCGUUUGAGUGUCGU
rnacentral:rRNA from 2 species